rnacentral:rRNA from 1 species
GAUGAACGCUAGCUACAGGCUUAACACAUGCAAGUCGAGGGGCAGCAUUUUAGUUUGCUUGCAAACUGAAGAUGGCGACCGGCGCACGGGUGAGUAACACGUAUCCAACCUGCCGAUAACUCCGGGAUAGCCUUUCGAAAGAAAGAUUAAUACCGGAUAGUAUACGAAUAUCGCAUGAUAUUUUUAUUAAAGAAUUUCGGUUAUCGAUGGGGAUGCGUUCCAUUAGUUUGUUGGCGGGGUAACGGCCCACCAAGACUACGAUGGAUAGGGGUUCUGAGAGGAAGGUCCCCCACAUUGGAACUGAGACACGGUCCAAACUCCUACGGGAGGCAGCAGUGAGGAAUAUUGGUCAAUGGGCGCGAGCCUGAACCAGCCAAGUAGCGUGAAGGAUGAAGGCUCUAUGGGUCGUAAACUUCUUUUAUAUGGGAAUAAAGUUUUCCACGUGUGGAAUUUUGUAUGUACCAUAUGAAUAAGGAUCGGCUAACUCCGUGCCAGCAGCCGCGGUAAUACGGAGGAUCCGAGCGUUAUCCGGAUUUAUUGGGUUUAAAGGGAGCGUAGGUGGAUUGUUAAGUCAGUUGUGAAAGUUUGCGGCUCAACCGUAAAAUUGCAGUUGAAACUGGCAGUCUUGAGUACAGUAGAGGUGGGCGGAAUUCAUGGUGUAGCGGUGAAAUGCUUAGAUAUCACGAAGAACUCCGAUUGCGAAGGCAGCUCACUAGACUGUCACUGACACUGAUGCUCGAAAGUGUGGGUAUCAAACAGGAUUAGAUACCCUGGUAGUCCACACAGUAAACGAUGAAUACUCGCUGUUUGCGAUAUACAGUAAGCGGCCAAGCGAAAGCAUUAAGUAUUCCACCUGGGGAGUACGCCGGCAACGGUGAAACUCAAAGGAAUUGACGGGGGCCCGCACAAGCGGAGGAACAUGUGGUUUAAUUCGAUGAUACGCGAGGAACCUUACCCGGGCUUAAAUUGCAACAGAAUAUAUUGGAAACAGUAUAGCCGUAAGGCUGUUGUGAAGGUGCUGCAUGGUUGUCGUCAGCUCGUGCCGUGAGGUGUCGGCUUAAGUGCCAUAACGAGCGCAACCCUUAUCUUUAGUUACUAACAGGUGAUGCUGAGGACUCUAGAGAGACUGCCGUCGUAAGAUGUGAGGAAGGUGGGGAUGACGUCAAAUCAGCACGGCCCUUACGUCCGGGGCUACACACGUGUUACAAUGGGGGGUACAGAAGGCGGCUACCUGGUGACAGGAUGCUAAUCCCAAAAACCUCUCUCAGUUCGGAUCGAAGUCUGCAACCCGACUUCGUGAAGCUGGAUUCGCUAGUAAUCGCGCAUCAGCCAUGGCGCGGUGAAUACGUUCCCGGGCCU